CCACCCGUCGUCCGCGCCCACCUCACUCCCCCCUUGCGUCUCCUCCAUGGGAGUCUUGCCAUGGAGCUGCCGCUGUGGACUCAACCCCACCCCCAGCAAGAACAGGGGUGCGCCCGCGCGUCCUCCUCCUCCUCCUCCUGCUGCCCGAGUAAGGAGGUCCAAAUACACGGGACAAUCUGUGAGAGCAAUGCCUAUGCGCGUGCUGACAGUUGGCAAGAAGAGGUCUCAGGGGACACAACUUCUUGUUGAAGAGUACAAGGAGAAACUCGGUCACUACUGCGAUGUUGAGGACACCCUCAUCAAAUCCAACCCAAAACUCACAAGCGAUGUUAAGGUGCAAAUUGAAGCAGAAGAUGCGUCUAUGAUGCAGCAGCUCAAGGCUGAAGAUUUUGUUGUUGUGUUGGAUGAAAACGGGAAGGAUGUCAUGUCUGAGCAGAUAGCUGAUCUGAUUGGGGAUGCUGGCAACACGGGAUCGUCAAGGCUCACAUUUUGUAUUGGCGGGCCAUAUGGUCUUGGAAUACAAGUACGAGAGCGGGCGGAUGCAACAAUUAGGUUAUCCUCACUGGUUUUGAACCACCAAGUCGCUUUAAUAGUUCUAAUGGAGCAGCUCUACAGGUGAACAACGAGCCUCUGCAACGCAGUGAUGCCAUUCCUGCGUUUGAACAUACUUUCUUAAUUUUCCACGUCAACUCUAGUGAUAUGGCAUGUAGAAUCAAUGCAUCGUCAGUGUAACACAGGGCGUGGACAAUCAUCAAAGGACAAAAGUAUCAUCACUAGAUUUGAGUUGCAAUGGCAUCAUCUGCUGCUCUUUGCAUGCGCGGCCUCCCAAUUCCACCACCUGAUCCGCUGUAGGCAGUUUUUUGCUUCUCCGGUUUUUUGUUAGACUAGUAAACAUGUACGUGCAAUGCACGUCUUUACCAACAUAUAUUUUGUAAUUUAACGUGUCAUAAUGCAAGAAUAAAAUUUAUACACCAUUUCA